AGCUCAAUUUGUGUUUACAACUAAUCACGACCAGUUACAAAUGUCUUUGUUCCUUCUCCACUCCCACUGCUCCAUUUGACUAGCCUAAA
rnacentral:sRNA from 1 species